rnacentral:rRNA from 1 species
CCCGGCGACCGGCGCACGGGUGAGUAACACGUAUGCAACCUGGCCGCCACAGGGGGAUAACCCGCGGAAACGCGGCCUAAUACCCCGUGACGCCACCGGAGGGCAUCCUCCGGUGGCCAAAGGAGCGAUCCGGUGGCGGAUGGGCAUGCGGCGCAUUAGCUAGACGGCGGGGUGACGGCCCACCGUGGCGACGAUGCGUAGGGGUUCUGAGAGGAAGGCCCCCCGCACUGGGACUGAGACACGGCCCAGACUCCUACGGGAGGCAGCAG